UUUGAUUUUCAGAUUUACAAUGAUACCUAUGUUAAUUUACUUCAUGUUAAAAGUAUGUUAAAAUGUGUUUAUGAUGCCUAUUAUUUGCAUAGGAACUUACUAAGCUUUAAAGCUUACUCCCUUUCUUUUUCCCUUGUCUCAUAGUGUCACCAAGCCAACUUGGGGAUCGAAGAAGGUUGGAGAUCCAUUCACACUAUCAAAUUAACAUUUUGGGUACUUAUGAUUUCAUUAUUUUGAGUUAUGGCAUGUAUAGAGACUUGGUCAUUUUGUUUUGUGCCAUAUCUGAUUUGGCCAAAUGUGUUGGCUUGUAAUGGUUGAUAAUUCAUUUUGUAAAUGGCCAUUGAAAUUGACUAAUAUUGGUUAAGUAUAUAUGCAUAUGAUGA
rnacentral:lncRNA from 1 species